rnacentral:tRNA from 1 species
GUCUUGUAGUCAAGUAUGAUUUUAAAUUGCAAAUUUAAAGGUAGAUUUAUCUUAAGGCUUA